AAAUCUUUAUUUUAUAUAAAAUAUCAUUUUUGCAUAAUGAAGAAAAAUUUUUUUAAGAUUUA
ensembl:Mt_tRNA